rnacentral:misc_RNA from 1 species
UACAGAGACCUCAAACAUUGUCCGGAUUUAUUGGGCGUAAAGGGUCCGUAGGCGGCCUUGUGCGUCGGUGGUCAAAUCUUGAGGCUCAACCUCAAGACUGCUACCGAUACGGCAGGGCUCGAGCAUGGGAGAGGUGAGCGGAAUUGCCGGUGUAGUAGUAAAAUGCGUUCAUAUCGGCAAGAACACCAAAUGCGAAGGCAGCUCACUGGAACAUUGCUGACGCUCAGGGACGAAAGCGUGGGGAGCGAAAGGG